ACUCUGGGACAUUGGAGGGUGUCCCUACUUAUGUCCACGUGUUGGGUGCUUGUGUGGUGAUGUUAAGAGAUGGUGGAACCUCUAAGAUGUGGAGCCUUGUGGAAAGUCAUUUGGUCACUCUCCUUAGAAGACACGAAGGUAGUUGUUGUGGGAACGUGAGAUUGUUAUCCUGUGGGAAUGGUGACGUUGGUCUGAGCUUGGUCCCUGAACCUGCCGCUGGCUUUUUUUAUGCAAAGUCAUCUCUUGAUCUUGUCUGCACUCUCAACUGUGGUUCAGCCCAACACAAGACCCUCGUCACAUCAGAGUGCAUGCUGGUCGCAUGAACUUGACCCUCCAGAAGUGUGAGCUAAUUCGACCUCUUUUCUUUAUAAAGUUACUCAGGCUCAGCUAUUUCAUUACAAUAAUGAAAAGUGAGCUCAAAUGUCCAUUUAUUUGUGUCACCUUUAUGCAAUUUUGGAAUUUUGGAAUCAUAAGUUCCCGUCUGGAAUAUUCCAAACAAUAUCGACUGUGCCCAGUGAUCCAACAUUGGAUUCUAUUGGUCAAAUCCAGUCCCUGAAACAUGGACAGGUGGAUUCCUGUUGGCUCUUCCGUCACCAGGAUGUGUCUUUCAUAACGGGAAACGAGCUUGGCCUCUUUCUGGUGGCCUGUGACACUUUUCAAAAUGGCGGGCGGGCAGGUACUUCUCAGACCCCUUGGUAAAUGACUGACAUCAAACGUGCGGCCAUAACAGGUGUUCUUGCAAAACUGAUCCAGACAUUAUGUUAAGAGGGAGGGAAAAAUGAGUUUUGCUCAUUCAGCUGGACUUCUGCUACUUCAUUAAUUAUAUGAAUUAUGCAGAUUGGAUGAUUCCAUUUUUUUUUUCUCUGAAGGACCAGUGUGGAGCUCCAUUGAUUCCAUCCAUCACCACUUUCUGGGCUCUUUCUUGUUCUCCUGCUAAGGAGGGAUUUGUCUUAAACUCGCAUCUCCCAUUACCCAUACCAUUCUCUCCUUGAUUGAUGGCCACCGAGACCAUUAGGCACAAAUGACAUCCAUCGGGGGCUGCCAUAUACAUUCGCCCGUUUUUCUGCCCCACUUGUUCUUGGAGACACUUCUCUCUAGAUUAAUGGCUCCAGCCCCUCAUUUCAAUUAUUUUUAUUAUGCCCGGCGACUGCUCUCUCCCAUUAAAAACGAGAGUGUACAGUUCAUUUAAGGAUUCAAUAUUCCCGUUAAGCCGUCGUUCACACAAUUUCUCCAUUACCACUUCGCCACUCGUGGGGCUGCUUUGAUUUAUAGAAGUGCCAGCUGUUGGAACGCGGCCUCCGUCCUGGGAACCCAGUGGGCAUCCCGGGAACUUUACCUCGCGACGCUUGAUAACUACUAAUGAAGUUUUCUCUACUUUGUUCAGCUACGUCCACUGUGGUUAUCGGAAGAAAUUCAAGGCAAAACUCUAAAAUUGAAUGCAUUCCUAGAAGAAUGGGGAUUUUUCUUUUUUUUCAUAUUGAAACUGAUAGGAGCCACCUGCAUAUAAUUGGAAACUCAUCCAUUGGGUGCCAUGAUGGAUGUUGACUCUAUGAAUUUGGGCAUUAAAUGCAGAUCUAUUUUCCUAAGAAGUUGGUGAUGUUUGUUUUUCUUUUCCUCCUCAGGGGGUAAUAUGGGAAUCAAUGUAGCAUCAUUGCCAAACUAUUUAUGGGGUGAUAUAUGUGAUUGUCACCUUGAGAGUGUCUUGGUUUCCUAUCGUGAAUGACAAAUUUCACUAAUAUAGCAAGGUGAAGCAACACCCAAUUGUGAACCCACAGUUCCUUGGAUCAGAACUCCACAAUGGCAUUUGGGGAACUUUUGCUUAUGGUACCAUGAGGAUAUAAUCAAAAUUAUCACCUAGUCUUUGUAUCUGCCUUUAAGCUGGUAUUUGUCCAUUUUCUGCUAUCAAAACGACAUUGAUGUUGUUGAGCAUUUUACAAGGAAAAUGAAUUUAUGUAGCUUACAGUUUUGGAGUCUGAAUGACCAAGACUGUGGGACUCCAUCUGACUGGCAUCUUGGAUGAGCGUCCCUUGGCUGUGUCACAACAUGGCGGAUGGCAUCAUGGCAGGCACUUGUGGGAGUGGAAGACAUCACAUGGGAAAUGUUGUGAUUGAGAUGUGAGGUGUUCCUAACGA
rnacentral:lncRNA from 1 species